AACGAACGCUGGCGGCAUGCCUAACACAUGCAAGUCGAACGAGACCUUCGGGUCUAGUGGCGCACGGGUGCGUAACGCGUGGGAACCUGCCCUUAGGUUCGGAAUAAUUCCCCGAAAGGGGUGCUAAUACCGGAUAAUGUCUUCGGACCAAAGAUUUAUCGCCUUUGGAUGGGCCCGCGUUGCACUAGCUAGUUGGUAGGGUAAAAGCCUACCAAGGCGACGAUCCAUAGCUGGUCUGAGAGGAUGAUCAGCCACACUGGGACUGAGACACGGCCCAGACACCUACGGAAGGCAGCAGUGGGGAAUAUUGGACAAUGGGCGAGAGCCUGAUCCAGCAAUGCCGCGUGAGUGAUGAAGGCCUUAGGGUUGUAAAGCGCUUUUACCCGGGAUGAUAAUGACAGUACCGGGAGAAUAAGCUCCGGCUAACUCCGU
rnacentral:rRNA from 1 species